rnacentral:rRNA from 1 species
GAGAUAGCUCGUACUCCCCGAAAUGUUUUUUGGAACAGCGUUGCGGUGAGUCUUAUGGAGGUAGAGCUACUGAUAGGGCUAGGGGGAGUCACAUCCUACCAAACUCUGAUAAACUCCGAAUGCCAUAAGAUAUACGCAGCAGUGAGGGCUAGGGUGCUAAGGUCCUGGUCCGAGAGGGAAAGAACCCAGACCAUCAGCUAAGGUCCCUAAAUGUAUGCUAAGUUGAACUAACGAGGUUUGAGCGCUAAGACAGCUAGGAUGUUGGCUUGGAAGCAGCCAUUCAUUUAAAGAGUGCGUAACAGCUCACUAGUCGAGCGCUUGAGCGUGGAUAAUAAUCGGGCAUCAAGCAUACUACCGAAGCUAUGGGAUCGUAAGAUCGGUAGGGGAGCAUUCUAUGUGCGCGGAAGUUGGGGCGUGAGCUCUGGUGGAGCGCAUAGAAAAGCAAAUGUAGGCAUAAGUAACGAUAAAAGAGGUGAGAAACCUCUUCACCGAAAGACUAAGGUUUCCUAUUCAAUGCUAAUCAGAAUAGGGUUAGUCGGGACCUAAGGCGAACCCGAAAGGGGUAGUCG